rnacentral:rRNA from 1 species
AACGAACGCUGGCGGCAGGCCUAACACAUGCAAGUCGAACGGGCGUAGCAAUACGUUAGUGGCAGACGGGUGAAUAACACGUGGGAACCUUCCUCGUAGUGCGGAACAACUCAGGGAAACUUGAGCUAAUACCGCAUACGCCCCGGAGCAAUCCGGGGGAAAGACUUAUCGCUAUGAGACGGGCCCGCGUCCGAUUAGCUAGUUGGUGGGGUAACGGCCUACCAAGGCGACGAUCGGUAGCUGAUCUGAGAGGAUGAUCAGCCACACUGGACUGAUACACGGCCCAGACUCCUACGGGAGGCAGCAGUGGGGAAUCUUGGACAAUGGGCGAAAGCCUGAUCCAGCCAUGCCGCGUGAGUGAAGAAGGCCUUAGGGUUGUAAAGCUCUUUUGGCAGGGACGAUAAUGACGGUACCUGCAGAAUAAGCCCCGGCAAACUUCGUGCCAGCCGCCGCGGUAAGAC